UGGGGAAUUGUUCGCAAUGGGCGCAAGCCUGACGACGCAACGCCGCGUGGAGGAUGAAGACCUUCGGGUCGUAAACUCCUUUCGACCGAGAUGAAUUCCCGCCGGCCUAAUACGCUGGCGGGGUGACAGUAUCGAGGGAAGCAGCCCCGGCUAACUCCGUGCCAGCAGCCGCGGUAAUACGGGGGGGGCAAGCGUUGUUCGGAAUUACUGGGCGUAAAGGGUUCGUAGGUGGCCCGCUAAGUCAGACGUGAAAUCCCUCAGCUUAACUGGGGAACUGCGUCUGAGACUGGUGGGUUUGAGGGCAGGAGAGGAACGCGGAAUUCCAGGUGUAGCGGUGAAAUGCGUAGAUAUCUGGAGGAACACCGGUGGCGAAGGCGGCGUUCUGGACUGCAUCUGACACUGAGGAACGAAAGCCAGGGGAGCAAACGGGAUUAGAUACCCCGGUAGUCCUGGCCCUAAACGAUGAAUGCUUGGUGUGGCGGUAUCGAUCCCUGCCGUGCCGCAGUU
rnacentral:rRNA from 1 species